ACGAACAUAUUCUAUAUGGUUUUUCUAGCUUAUAAGCUGAAAGAAACAAGACCAAGGGCAUGCAUCGAUGUCCCAUCACAUGAGAACUAAUAAACAUGGUUACACGCUACAGACCAAAAAGAUAAAAAAAAAAAAGUACACGGUUACAUGAUCACAGCCUAGAUAUUAUUAUGAGCUCGAAAUUCUCAUGCCGGCACAUCAUCGACCGCGGCUGGUACCUUCUGAUAAGCUACCGAGUUCCGGAACCUCUUGGGCAAGAAACAAGCGCCGCAGAACUGCUGUUGCAAGAAGAUGACCGCUGCAAAAACGAGUCCUCCUAAAGGAAUGACCACAUCCCAAGCAGUCGAAUAGAAGUCUCUAUCUGGAGUUCCGUAAAUGUAGGACCCGUAGAAUUGUGAAGAGUAAGUUCGAGUCCUGUAGAGAUCGUAACCGUGCGGCAACAGCCGAACCAAGGUCAUUCCGAGAUAGAAAGAACCUGAGAGGGCCCUCUCAGAUGAGUUCCUGAAGACAUUGAGCAGAAUCUGAGGCAAGAGAAAACCAUCCAAGAUGAGUCCUGCAUAACAUUUCAAACCUCCCAAAAUGGAGAAGCUCUGGCCGUCCGUGUCAUUAGAAUGGCUUCUCCAGCUAAAGAUGAUAGCCGCCAGUGCGCCGAUGCCAUAUAAUAGCAAAGAGACGAUCAGAGCCUUCUUUUCCUGGAACCACAAGCCAGCCCCAACCCCAUCCUUCUUUCUUGCGGCCCAACUCAGCUGGAGAAGACGGAAUUGCAUCAAGAAAGCAAUCAUCGUGGCUACCCUCACCAACACCUCGUUCAUUUCGAGCCACUGACCACUUCCGAGAGAAAUGUGCUGCCUGUUCCUAUCAUUCAGGAACAAGGCUUCGAAAUUGAGCACGAGAGGGAUUGCAUGGCCUAGAGUGAGAAUCACCAGCAUGGCGAUAGAGAUGAAGGGAAGCACCUCAGGGUGCCGUCUCACGUGAAGGAUCUGGAGGCCAAUGAAGAUGCACAAGAAUGUAUUAGAAGCAAGGCAAAGAGAGAGCUCGAUGUCCAUACCCAAGAUGGACCGCCUCACUUCCUCCUCAUAAGGAGAAUCAGAAGUCACGUUCAGCCUCUCAAAAUGAAGCGGAUCGGACGACUUUCUUGUGCUCUCGAUGGUUCCCACAAUGUGAUCCUGCCUUCUCUUCGAUAAGGGAGGAAACUGCAAUCUAAUUACGAUUUCACAGUCUAGAGAUGUGUUGGCUCGCUUCUUCCCCGUUGAGAUGACACUUUUACAUCCCACCAUACACAGCUCACCAGUUUCAGCAUCGUAAACCCCUUCUGCAGAAAUCUCCACUUGAUCAUUUGAGCUCCAGGAUUGAUUAUAAAGGGCAUUUUUGCUCUUGCCCUUCACAUGUUGCGGUCCUGUGAAGUCAAUAUGAUAUGAGAUGUUGAACCGGGCAUUGCUGCUUGAGGUUGAGGAAGUGUCGAUAGCGAAAUUCUCAGUCCUGGAAACCGACAUGCUAUAACCAUAUUGGUCAUACAUUUGGUUGUCUACAAAGAGAGGGUAAGAAUAUCCACUGCCUAUUUUACCUUCGGAAUCCUUAACCAACAUGUUGAACCUCAUAUCUUGAGAGUACCAAUUCGGAUAUCUUUCUCUCCCACUUUUCAGAUCAGUCUUUACUGGGCACAGCUUCCUUACUCUUUCGAUUUCAGUAUAAUUAUACUUCAAGUCUGGAAACUUCCAAAAACUACUUUCAGUGCCUUGGAGCGUGAUGUCUGGGAAAUAACUCAAUUCCUUCCGGCUCUUCUCGCUCCAUAAGUGACCCAAAAUGCCAUCUCUUUCCCUGAUUGACCACACUGCUGGGAACAUCAACUCAAUGUGGACCGAACAAUCCUCAACACGAGCAGUCGAGAAAGAUCCUGCCAAGUUAAUUUGACAGGCUUUGAUCUGUAGUCGGUUCUUAUUCCUGUCCCACAUCGCCUCUCCAACCAACGUUGAGUUCGGAUCGAACUUUCCAUAGUACCAAAAGUCGCUGUCAUUUGAAAAACGCAGCAACACUCGCAUCUUCCUUUCACCUUCGGAACAACCGAUUCCAUCGAGGGACAUGACAGGGGGCAAAUAUCCUGAAGGGCCCGAGAUGGGUGUGCAGAUUUUGACAGGACUACAAUCAGGUGCGUAAUUAAGAUAGAGUGCUCUACCUAGGUUCCGAAAAGCCGAACAAAAGCUUUGACUCUGGGGUGCUAAACCCAGCGGAAGAUUGCUCUUCCCAUUACUGAGUUUCCCAGAAACCAAACUGUACUUGUAAUUUCUCUUAGGAAACAUCAAGAUCGAUAUGGCAUCGAAAUAAUUCUUGUCAUCUGGAGUACUCAGACUUUCCAAAAUGCCAGUAAAUAAGCUAGUAAUUUUAGCAGAAGUGCUUACAUUAUUGAGCUUAAGCACGACAUCAAGAUUGAGAGAGUCACCUGGACUCGAGAGAGAGGAACCAACCAUACAAAGCUUCUCCGAAGAUUCUGACCAGAAACCUUCUAAUCGAAAAGUGAUGAGACUCUUAGCCCGGCGGCGUGGAACAUAGGCUGCCCUUUCCGGAGUGGCUUCUAAGUGUGCUUGACCAUACCUGUAGCCUCCUCCAUAGUAGUAGUCAUAACCCGAGAUUCCGAAUCUCAAGUUUGCUUCGACCUUGAGCACCCCAUCGUGAUUGGUCUUGUAGACGUCAGAAACAUGGAACGAGAAGGAAUUGGAUUUUGAAGAAGAGGAAAGUCCUGGAAUGUUUCCGCCCCCAGUGUAGUAACCAGCUUGGUAUUCGGAGAGUGGCAUGGAGGCUAGGGUAUACACGUUAAGAGUGGCUUCAGGAACAGUUGAAGCACAGUGGUCAGAGUAAGAGAUUUGUUUUGCAAAUGCAUGCCAAGAUGAGUUCAUGUCUAGGGACAGAGAGAUGCAAAGUAGAGUGAAAACCCAUGUUGGCCUGAGGGAUCCGAUUUUAGAAGCCAUUUGAUGAGGAGGAGGAGGAGGAGGAGGAGGAGGAGAGAUUGUGAGAAAAAUGAAGAGAUCACUGACAAUUUAUAGUUGAGAGGAACUUGUAGACAGGACUUUAAGGACUAUAUUUUUUUGGCUUUAUUUACACAAACUUCAUCUUCAGAUUGAGAAACGAUAUACGCUUGGGGCCUUCUAGAUGAAUCAUGGGUUUAAUUUCCAAGCUGACAGAGACUUCCACGUGUGUGACUGUGCAUCUCCUCCAAUACAGGAGAUGGCAUACAAAAAGAUGAGAUUUUCACCACCACAGGGGAUAUUAACUCUUGCGCUUGUUUUUUCUCUGUCUGCACAAAAAAGUCAAGGCUUCGAGUUGAUGUUUGAGUUGGACAAGGAAUUUCAUUCACCAAAAUGACUAGUGAUCGUGAGAUGCAUUAUUCCGCUGAAAUAUAAGCAUGAAGGGUCGAAUGCGACGAAGCCCAAUGUACUUACUACAAGUUUAUCUUUGUUUGAUAACUUGUGUAUUCCGGUAAAAUGCAAUUCAUAUGAUGUUCAUACCACGUUAAUAACCGUAUAAAUUUUUUCUUUAAAUUCGCAAUGGAAUUUAUUAUCAUAACCUCAUUCAAAGGCCACAGCAAACAAAGACGGUUCAAUUAUUGGUUUAUACCAGAUAACCUCGUGGCAUCAUUUUGACAAUUGGGCACACUAACCUUGUCGCUUAAGCAACGCAUCACAGACGGUGUAAAGUCAUUUCCUUUUGGACAAAGCACAGGAUGUCGUUUAUGCAACGCAACACACGCGAUUCGAUGUUCAUGGUGAGAAGUGGGGGACAGUGUCGACAAAUGUUUAAUAUUUGGAAUCAACAAGGUGCAAUUAAAAGCCCUUGACAAAUAAUUAAAAAAGACUGAACUUAGCCGGUCCAAUGUAUUUCAAGUCCGAUGCAAUUAAUGUUACAGUCAAAACCUAACAUCUCAUCUUUAAAUAAGCUCUAUGGGGCCACCCUCGUGCGAUUAAAAAGGCAUAGCCGUUUCACGACCACAAUGCCUGGCGCAAGUCUAUAUAAAGGAUUAAUCGAAUUAACCGUUUCCAAUCAACGCCCACGAAACCAAUCCGCGCCCCAUAACACGUGUAAUCGAAUAAAACAAAAAAUAAAAAUAAGGGGGGGGAAGGAAAAAGUGACGAAAAGUAGGUACCAUCGGCGAUCGUGCCCCCACGUGAGGCGUGGCGGAGACGCUGCAACGUCUCUCGAGGCAUCUUCGGAAAAGGCAGGGGAGGCGAAUGAAUGCAGGAUGCUCAGAGACACUCCCAACUCUUUUAUUAGCUAUCUCGAGUCAGGAUUCGGGGCAGGUUCUACGGACUCCCUGCUAUUUUCUAAUCUACCAUGAAAGGGAGUAUCAUACAAAUAAGUGGCUUUCCAGUCAGCCAAGAGUUUUCGUUUUUGAAAGCCUAGAGUUUUCUUCUCUCUCCUCUUUUCUUCUUUGGCCGGUCGCCAACCCGCGACGGCGUCGCCGGCCCUCGACGGCCGGUCGUCGGCCAUGGCCGAGGCCGGCGACUGGCCAAAGAAGAAAAGAGGAGAGAGAAGAAAAGAAGAAGAAAGGAAAAAAAGUGUUUCUAGAGCAUGAAACAAUUUUUUUUUUGUUUCUCAUUUCUGAACUUUUUGUGUUCCGGGAACGAAAAAUCUGAUUUUGAACAAAAACGCAAACAAACGCGUUUCUAUUCUUUUUUUGUUCCCGGGAACAAAAAAACAAAAUUUCUGUUCUUGAACAGAAACUAGGAAUAAAAACAUGCAGGCCCUAAAAAUCUCAAACUAGUACACAUGUAAUAAAUUUAUAUCAAACUAAUUUUUGGGUCAUUCAAAAUCUUAAAUUAAUACAUGUGUGAUAAAUUUACCCCCCAUUAGUUUUUGUUAAAUUUUACUAUGAAAUUACUAAGUUAAAUUAUACAUAGAAAUAACUCAAUUGUCACUUAAAAUUCCAUAACUCUAUCUCUUUGUUUCUUCAAUUAUCCAUAAUUUGAAAACAAAUAUGGCUCAUUCUCUGUCUCCCUUAGAGCAUAAAAUACCUAGACCGUCUUCCUAUAUACUUCGUCGAUAGAAAUGGAAGAUGACACGUUUUCUACUAUCCACUACCAAUUGAAGCUUUGGAACAUUCCAAUUUGGUGAUUUGGAUGAGUUAGCCAAACAAGUCUAGAAAAAAAAAAUCAGUUUACCAAAUAUAAAAAUGUGCUCGAACGAGUUCCACUGCCUAAUCAUGGAGACAAAAAGGUGACAAAGAAGGAGUGUGCCUUGACGAAGAAGAAGAUGAAGAAGCAUUGGAAUGCUCAUAAGGGAGAGCCACCGCAGGGCGGGGGGUUUGAACGAGCCCUAUUUGUUUGAACGAGCCCUUCUAAGUAUGCUUUACAAGCCAUCAAAAUGUCUGGAGUUCACUUGAAGAAGUGGCCCUUAACAAGGUCCUCGAAAUGUUGCAGCCAGAAAUGAGAAUCAUAAAGCGGCUAGAUUUAAGAGGGACGCAUGCAUCUCAUAAUUAGCCAAACGAAUGUCUAGAAUCCUAAUACAAAAUCCAAAGACUCACUUCAUGCAAAUCGCUAAAGAAAUUGCAUCUCAAUGCCAAAAAAACCUGAUAAAGCAAAAGGGAAUAAAUGCUGAACACCACAAUAACAUGAGACGUGACUCAAACACGCAUUCAGGGUUGUCCAAAUCCAAGGGAAAAGUACCUAAAAAAAAUCAUAAACCUAUUGUAUUGGUACAAAUUCAAUCAUAAACUUCUCAAUUUGAUCAAUUUAGUCCUAAAAUUUUUUUACAUUAAUACUAAUUCAAUCCAUUCGGCUAAUUUUGGCCGGCGGGCACUGAUGUAGAUGACGGCUGGUAACCGAAUGCCGACGUGACAAUUUUUAAUAAUUUUUUAAUUUUUUGAUUUUGUUAUUAUUUUUUUUUCUUUUUUCCUUUUCUUUUCUCCCUUCUUCCUUCUCAAUUUGUCCUCACGGUGGCUAGCAAGCCUCCCGCCGCCGGCCCUUGAAGCCCUCAUCAGUGGCGGAUGAGGGCUUCAUGGCCCUCACCCAAGGCUCGCUGGCCACUGGGAGGAUAGACCGAGGAGGAAGAAGGGAGAAAAGAAAAAAUUAUUAAAAAAAUUGUCACUUCAGCAUCCGGCCACUAGUCGACAUCCACGUUAGCAUCCAACUACCAGUCAACGUCCACAUCAGCGCUGUCCCAUCAGUUGAUCGGAUGGACUAAAUUGGUACCAAUGUAAAAAUGUUUAAAAUUAAAUUGAUUCAAUUAAAAAUUUUAGAAUUGAAUUGAUAUCAAUGCAAUGAAUCUAGGAUUUUUUUGGUAAUUUUCCCCCAACUCCAAAGUUUCUUCCAAAAUUUUGUAGACAUCAGAGAAGAAAAUGUGGAAGGGAUUCCCAGAUUUUGUGCGACCAAAUAGCUUGCCUACGUUGGAAGUUAGUGGGGCUAAAAACCGAAUAAACCAAGGCCGUUAUCGCAAACUAACACUAAUAGCUGUAGAACUGCAAAAAGAACCAGCAAAAAUCCAUAAUAUCACUCCAGUCACCUUCGACAACCUUUUAUUAGUACAGUACAACACCAGAGUAAGAGAUAUUUCAGAAAAAGCAAGACCUAAUGCAUCUCUAUAUUAAACUUCUCAUGAGAAAAUGGAAACAAGAUUCCACAGCAAGAUGCCCAUUGCAGCCAAGCCAGGAAAAACUAGUCAUACAACCCGUAACAAAUAUGCAAAAUGAAAGAUGACAACUAACUUAAAUAAAGCGUGAAGCACCUGCCCAUAAUUGAAGAAAGAACGAAUGUUACAUUGCUCACGGCACUCCAGUUAGUCUGUUACGAGAGGGAAAUAUGGAGUAGAAUUCAUAAAUCGCAAAGAUACACCUCGAGGCUUCUCCAAAAAAUUUAAAACUAUUAUUCUUCUUUGAUAAAAGAAAAACACUGCAAAUACUCAUCAAGAAAUCAAAUCUCUAAGCCACGGAUGUUGAGGAUCACUCCCAACAGUCCAUAACCCCAAGAUUAUGCAAUUAUAACCGGUUUUUUCCAUCUAUAGGUUUUCUCAAUGAAGAAGACACAUGCAGAAAUUUUACCAUGUCAUCUGUUUUAUUAAGUUGGUGGCAAAAAAAAAAAAAAAAAGCUCCACUGCAAAAUACUAAGAAAUAUCACCGCCUUCAGUCUCUGAUGGUGACAAAAAAUAGAUGAGACAAUGUAACUACUAUUUUCAAGCAAAUAUUCCCCCACGUCAAAGGUCUAAUAUAAUUCAUGUCAUUUGAUAAGCACACCAAAAACAGUAUGGUACCAAAUAAACUCGAGGACUCACAUGCAGCCAUCCUCACCAUAUACAAUCUGGGAUUUCAUAGACCUAAAAGUGAAGGAGGGUGAACAAACACCAUGUUACAGAAAUAUUAUUAUGCAACGUCAGCAAACCCCAGCGUCAUAUUUGGCAUUCACAAUUUUGUCUAAGGUAAACAAGUACCAUAGUUGGGGCAUGUAGUUAUAAACAUAUCCGCAGAAUAUGCACAUAAACAACUGUUACCUUGGGAGGUUUCUUCAUAUUUUAUGUCAUAGUUCUCAGCGAAAGGAUAAAUGUAUCUUCAUUAUAUGUCAUCGCUGUCGAUUCUCCCUGCUCCGUGUUCAUUGACGUCUCAUACCCAGGCUCAUUAAAAUAGGGCUUUGAGUUUAAUAUGAGCCCCUGUACGGAUACCCGAACUUACAGCGCAGUUGAAACGCCAGGAAUCCACUUCUCAUUCUUGUGUUGACCAGAUCAAGUGCCAAGGAGGCUGAGCGAUUUAGCGAGCAGAGCAGGAUAGGUCGGCGCAGGUUUUCCGAGCUGUUGCCGCUUCUGCAGCCGCCUGCGAUGUUUCCCUCUUCCCUUUUUUUUACUUUUUUUUUAGCGCCCUUUUCCGGAAGGGAGGGAGCGUUUCGGGCUUUUCGGUGCUAAAACAGGAAACCGUCGAUGGGCUUGGGCUUUUGCAAUAGGAAAUAAUUUGGGCCCACCAAAAUUGUGCAAUUUAUGACCUGAUAAUCAUCCAUUUUUUCUAUUUUUCUGUUCUACUGUUUUCCGAAAUAGAAAAGGAACAUAAAUCUAUUUAAUAAUAUCAGUUAAUUAUUCUAUUCCUCAUAAUAGAAAAGUGCCAAGGAAUAAAUUUAGAAUAUAAAUAAAUAACAAAAAAAGAAAACCUACUUUUUUUUUUGCUCCCAAGAAUUAAAAAUGGAAUUGUUUCUGAGAAUAGAAAGAUUAUCAAAUAUAUACCCUUAUAUACCAAUCCAAAUUUUUCCAUAAAUUCCAUAGACCCAUUGAUUCGAAACGGAUUGAUUACACAAAUGAUCCCUAAACUUGGUUUAAUGUACAAUGUUGUCCAAGAACUCUUGAUUUGUUCAAUAUUGUCUUUAAACUUUAGCCAAAUGCGCAAUAUCAUUUCUGAAAUUUAAUUCGUACAAUUUGAUCCAUGAACCAAAAGUUUGAAAAAGCUAAAAGUUCAGGGAUAAAAUUACAUAUUGAACCAAAGUUAAGAGACCAUUCAAAUUUGAAAUUUUCAUUUUUAUGAAUUUACUGUAGAGAAAUAUUGAAAUCUCUAGUGCACGUAAAACCAAAUCCACAAGAAACAUCACUAACAUAUUCUAUAUGGUUUUUCUAGUUUGUAUGCUGAAAGAAACAAGAGCAAGGGCAUGCACCUGUUUUCCCUCACAUGCGAACUAAUUAAUAUGGUUACACACUACCGACCAAAAAAAAAAAAAAAAACAAUAGAUGGUUACAUGCUGACAGCCUAGAAAUUAUUAUGAGCUCGAAGUUCUCACAUCGGCACGUCAUCGACUAUAGCUGGUACCUUCUGAUAAGCUAACUUGUUUCAGAACCUCUCGGGCAUGAUACAAGCGCCGCAAAACCGCUGCUGCAGGUAGAUGAUCGCUACGAAAAUGAGUCCUCCUAAAGGAAUGAUCACAUCCCACGCAAUCGAAUAGAAGUCUCUAUCUGGAGUUCCAUAAAUGUAUGACUCGUAGAUUUGUGGCGAGUAGGUUCGAGCUCUAUAGAGAUCAUAACCAUGGGGUAGCAAUCGAACCAAGGUCAUUCCGAGGUAAAAAGAUUCUGAAAGGACCCUCUCAGAUGAGUUCCUAAAGACAUUGAGCAGAAUCCGAGGCAAGAGAAAACCAUCCAAGAUGAGUCCUGCGUAAGAUUUCAAGCCUCCCAAGAUGGAGAAGCCUUGGUCAUCGCUUGUAAAACUUGCGGUGUCAUCAGAACGGCUUCUCCAGCUAAAGACGAUGGCCGCCAAUACUCCGAUGCCAUAUAAUAGCAAAGAGACAAUCAAAGUCUUCUUUUCUUGGAACCACAAGCCGGCCGCCACCCCCAUCCUUCUUUCUUGCGGCCCAAGUCAGCUAGAGAAGACGGAACUGCAUCAAGAAAGCUAUCAUUGUGGCUAGCCUCACCAUCACCUCAUUCAUUUCGAGCCAUCCACCACUUCCGAGAGAAAUGUGCUGCCUAUUUCGAUCGUUCAGGAACAAGGCUGCGAAAUUGAGCACGAGAGGGAUCGCAUGGCCUAGAGUGAGAAUCACAAGCAUGGCAAUCGAGAUGAAGGGAAGCACCUUGGGGUGCUUCUUCACGUGAAGAAUCUGGAGGCUGAUGAAGAUGCACAAGAAUGCAUUAGAAGCAAGGAGGAGAGAGAGCUUGAGGUCCAUCCCCCAAAUCCAUCGCCUCACUUCCUCCAUAUAAGGAGAAUCAGAAGUCACGUUCUGCCUCUCGAAAUAAAGCGGAUCGAAUGGGUUCCUCAUCCUCUCGAUGGUCCCCACGAUGUGAUCCUGCCUUCUCUUCGAUAAGGAAGGAAACUACAAUCUGAUCACGAUUUCACAGUCCAGAGAUGCAUCCCCUCGCUUCUCCCCGGUUGAGAUGACUUUUUUACAUCCAACCAUACAUAAGUCACCGGUUUCGACAUCGUAAACCCCUUCUGUAGAAAUCUUCACUCAAUCAUUUGAACUCCAACACUGAUUACAAAUGGCAUUUUUGCUCUUGCCCUCCACAUGUUGCAGUCCCGUGAAAGUCAAAAUGGUAUGAGAUGUUGAAUCGGGCAUUGCUGUUUGAGGUUGAGUGACUGUUGACAGCGGAACUCUCAUUCCUAGAAACUGGCAGGCCAUAAGCAUAUUGUUCAUAUGUUUGGUUGUCAACAAACAGAGGGAAAGAAUCUCCACUGCCUAUUUUUCCUUCAGAAUUCCUAACCAACAUGUUGAACCUCAUACCUUCAUUUAUCUUUCGACUUAGACAGUGAAGUCCCCUAGACCAAACUCAUGAAAUUUCGUAUGCAUCGAAGUCCAAUAUACUUACCACAAGUUUAUCUUUGUUUGAUAACCCACAUCUUCAAGUAAAAUGUAAUUCAAAUGAUGCUUAUACCACGUUCAAUCAACAAUCAUAUAAACAUUUGCUUUGAAUUCACAAUAGUAGUUAUUAUACUAACUGGGUUUGAAAACUACGGUGAAUAGAGACGGUUCAUUAAUUGGUUCGUACUAGAUAACCCCGUCGCAUCACGUAGAAAAGAUUUCCUAAUCUUUUUCCCCGUCGCUUAAGCGAGUAGCGCUGGCAUGGACUUGGCCCCAAUAGUGAUUGAACAGUUCAGCAACGCCCCAUAGACGGUGUAAAGUCAUUUCCUCUUUGGACAAAAGCACAGGAGAUGUCGUUGUCUCCUUUGUCACGAUGUGUAGGAAGACUUAAGAAGUCGGGCUUCGAGUCAACGUUAACGCAGAGGACGAGGAUAAUUUUUCUCUUCCUUCGAACCAAACGAGGCGGCAAGGAGAAAGCGAGAAUUUCAAAGCGACUUUUCCAAAAAUGUCGUUUUGGAGUGGAGUCCUGUCUCCUCUUAUUCGAUAGGAGACCGAGGAUAGGCCAAUAGGGACGGUAAAAUCCGAUUUUUGUUUCCCGUAAAUGCCGGACCAUGCCUCCGAAAUAAUGGUCCCGCAAACGCUGCCCAUCUCUACGAGUUUAGGGAGCAUGGUUAGAUUAGUUAAGUAGUCGAAGAAACCCCCGGCCUCUGAAUUUUUCAUCCAUGAUGAAACUAGUUACAAAGGCAAUAAAUUAGAAUUACAAAGAAAGCAAUUGAACAUUUCAAAUCCUACAAUUGAUUUUCGACAAAAACGGUAGCAGAACAAUCAAUAUAUCAGAACAUCAACACGUUGCCGCUUAAUACUUGACAAAGUAUGAGAGGUAAGACCAUAGUGGUGAUGACUAAGAAGCAGAAUCUCAACACGUUAAUGCUUAUUACUCCAUAUUGGUGAGGACUGAGAAGUAAAGUCUCGGAAUCUGUAUGAUCUCAUCCUCAUUUUGCUUGACCAACCGUCAGAAGAGUUCAUUCAUACAGUGAAACAUCUUGACCGACUUAAUUAAACCAUGAAAUGAGGGGGUAAAAUAAUCAAAUGGCAUGCUAAACAAUAUGCCAGAUUGAUCAGAGUGAUCCACUAUCAAGAGACACCGAACGGUCACAUUCAGAUAGAAUAUAUAAUGCUGUUCACCACUAAUACCCACGGUAAGAUAGGAAACAUGCUGGAAGAACGCUUGGCGACCUCGCUCCAGCGCAAUAGAUGACAAAGGCUGGAGAAAGCUAUCAAACGGCAGAAGAAUUUAGAAGCACGAUAGGAAGGACUAACAUAGCAUAUCAGCAAUUGGCGGAACAGAGCACCUUCUAAUAUGUAUGUAUGUAUGUAUGUAUGUAUGUGUUAUCAUCAAAGGUGAAUUCUGUAACUCAUCCAUGUCUACACCUAUGUACAUUAUCCAAAAUCAUUCGCAAAAACAUCCAACAGGUUACUGAUCCCCAGUUAAGAAGAACCUUAAUCUGUGUUGCUACCGAAAAAAGACAGUCUCAAUCAAGAAGUUAUUUGGAUAUUCACUCCCUUGUCAUCGCUAGAGCCGGAGCUGGAGCUGGAGCCGGAGGCAUAAAUUUCUCCGAGUCCUUGAUCCCAAGUCUCCUGAAUUCUCUCACCAGAAGACUAAUAUACUUAGAUACAGUAUCCUUAAAGUGGAGGGAGCUGGUGCGGGAGCUGCUUCUAUGAUCUGCAUCAACAUCUUGUACGCCACCUUUAAGAAGGCAUCCAACCUAAGCACCUUCUGCGUAUGCUUUACAAGCCAUCAGAAUAUCUGGAGCGCACUUGAAGAAAUGGCCCUUAACAAGGUCCUCGAAAUGCUGCAGCCAGAAAUGAGAAUCAUAAUGCAGCUAGAUUUAAGAGGGACGCAUGCAUCUCAUAAUUAGCCAAAAGAAUGUCUAGAAUCCUAAUACAAAAUCCAAGGACUCAAUUCAUACAAAUCGCUGAAGAUAUUGCAUUUCAAUGCCGAAAAAAAAACUUGAAAAAGCAAAAGGGAAUAAAUGCAUAACAUCACAAUAACACAAGAUGCAACUUAAACGCGCAAAAGAUUUCACGGUUGUCCGACUCCAAAGUUUCUUCCAAGAUUUUGUAGACGUCAGAGAGGAAAUUAUGGAAGGGAUUCCCACGAUUGUGUGCGACCAAAUAGCUUGCCUACUUUGGAAGUCAGUGGGGCUCGAAACCGAAUUACCCGGGCCAUUAUCGCAAACUAACACCAAUAGCUGUAGAACUGCAAAAAGAACCGGCAAACAUCCAUGAUAUCACUCCACAGUCACUUCAACGACCUUUUAUUAGUACAUUGCAGCACUAGAUUAAGAGAUAUUUCAGAAAAAGCAAGACCCGGCGCAUCUCUAUAUUAAACUUCUUACGAGAAAUAAGAAACAAGACUCCACAGCAAGAUGCCCAUUGCAGCCAAACCCGGAAAAACUAGUCAUACAAACCUUCACAUAGAUGCAAAAUUAAAGAUGACAACUAACUUGAAUAAGGCGUAAAGCACCUAACCAUAAUUGAAAGAAGAACGAAUGUUACAUUGCUUACGGCACUCCUGUUAUUUUGUUACCAGAGGAAAAUGUGGUGUCGAAUUCAUAAAUCGCAAAGAUACACCUCGAGGCUUUUCCAAAAACAUUUAAGACUACUGUUCUUCUUUGAUAAAAGAAAAACACUGCAAAUACCCGUCGAGAAAUCUAAUCUCUAGGCCAUGGAUGUUGAGGAUCACACCCAACAGUCCAUAACCAUAAUAUUAUGCAACUAUAGCCAGUUGUUGCUAUCUGUACGUUUUCUCAAUGAAGAGGGCACAUGCGAGAAUCUCUUACCAUGUCAUCUGGUUGGUAGCAAAAAAAAUAAGGCUCCAUUGCAAAAUACUAAAUAAAAUCGCGGCCUUCAGUCUCUGAUGGUGACAAAAAACAAAACAAACAAUGUAACUACUAUUGUCAAGCAGAUAUGCUUGAAAUUUAAUUUGUUCAAUUUGAUCCAUGAACCAAAAGUUCAAGUACAAAUUUUAUUUUUAUUUUUUUUGAAUAGACAGAUACCAAUGUGAAAAAGUUAAAAAAGUUCAAGAAUAGAAUUACAUAUUAGGCAAUAGUUCAAAAACCAUUCAAAUUUGAAAUUUUCAUUUUUAUGACUUUAUAGUCGAUAAAUAUUAAAGUCUCUAGUGCACAUAAAACCAAAUCCACAAGAAACAUCUAAUUCACGAACAUAUUCUAUAUGGUUUUUCUAGCUUAUAAGCUGAAAGAAACAAGACCAAGGGCAUGCGCUACAGACCAAAAAGAUAAAAAAAAAAAGUACACGGUUACAUGAUCACAGCCUAGAUAUUAUUAUGAGCUCGAAAUUCUCAUGCCGGCACAUCAUCGACCGUGGCUGGUACCUUCUGAUAAGCUACCGAGUUCCGGAACCUCUUGGGCAAGAAACAAG
rnacentral:lncRNA from 1 species